UUUUUAGAACACUCUAAAAUACAAGCUUCCUGGCAUUGUACCAAGAUAUUUAACCAUCAGCGUCCCAAUUGUACAAGCCACUAAAGCUUAUCCAAUCGUCUCCCGGCUCUGGACAAGAUUUUUUUCCUCAGAAAAAUCGUCUCUCACUUCACUCUCGCUCUGUCGGUAGCAUUAUUGUAGUGGCAGUUUCUCUCUCUAAAAUCCCUACCUCACUUCCAUGUUGUUUUCUUUUCUUCUUCGCCAAUUUUACAUUAUUUCAAGUCAAUUGUCAUAAUUUUAAUAAUUAAUAAUGAAACUGUCGCUAACUGCAAUACAUAUUUUUUUUGUAUGUAUUUCUAUUCAUUGAGAGGAAUUGUAGAGGGAUAUAGCUAGUGGGUCAUUGCUCAGUGUUUUUCUCACCCCAAUUUCUCGUUUUCUUAUAUUAUUGGAAGGAAUUUAACUUUUGGAGAGAGAUCUGGUGGAUUUUCGAUCGAUUUGCGUAUGAAUUAUAGUUGAUCACGAAGGAAAUUUGUAUUUCGGUGACGGAAAUAGCAGUAACGUUGUGACCCCGAGUGAAAGAGCGUGAAAAGAAACAAAGAUUCUGUUUUUUUCAGAGGACAUUUUAAAGUCUCUCGGCAUGUUGAUUAAGAACAUAUCCGAGUAAAUCCUAUAUAUCUGUCUUUUCAGUCAAAGUCUAGCCGCAUUAAUGGAACCAGAAGCUGAAAUUAAGGGAAAGGCCUUGAAGAACAUGGGCAGUCAGGUCUGCCAGAUCUGUGGUGAUAAUGUAGGAUUGACUGUUGACAGGGAGCUGUUUGUUGCUUGCGAUGUCUGUGCAUUUCCCGUUUGCCGGCCGUGCUAUGAAUAUGAGAGGAAGGAUGGAAAUCAGUCUUGUCCUCAGUGCAAAA